AUACGGAGGGUCCAAGCGUUGUUCGGAUUUAUUGGGCGUAAAGCGAGUGUAGGCGGUUUGAAAAGUCGGAUGUGAAAUCCCAGGGCCCAACCCUGGAACUGCAUCCGAUACUGUCAGGCUAGAGUCCCUGAGAGGGUGGCGGAAUUCCCGGUGUAGGGGUGAAAUCCGUAGAUAUCGGGAGGAACACCAGUGGCGAAGGCGGCCACCUGGACGGUGACUGACGCUGAGACUCGAAAGCGUGGGUAGCAAACAGUAUUAGAAACCCCAGUAGUCC
rnacentral:rRNA from 1 species